rnacentral:rRNA from 1 species
UCUGGAAACUGUNUGACUUGAGUGCAGAAGGGGAGAGUGGAAUUCCAUGUGUAGCGGUGAAAUGCGUAGAUAUAUGGAGGAACACCAGUGGCGAAAGCGGCUNUCUGGUCUGUCACUGACGCUGAGGCUNGAAAGCGUGGGUAGCGAACAGGAUUAGAUACCCUGGUAGUNCACGCCGUAAACGAUGAGUGCUAGGUGUUAGGCCCUUUCCGGGGCUAAGUGCCGGAGCUAACGCAAUAAGCACUCCGCCUGGGGAGUACGACCGCAAGGUUGAAACUCAAAGGAAUUGACGGGGGCCCGCACAAGCGGUGGAGCAUGUGGUUUAAUUCGAAGCAACGCGAAGAACCUUACCAGGUCUUGACAUCCCGAUGCUAUUCUUAGAGAUAGGAAGUUACUUCGGUACAUCGGAGACAGGUGGUGCAUGGUUGUCGUCAGCUCGUGUCGUGAGAUGUUGGGUUAAGUCCCGCAACGAGCGCAACCCUUAUUGUUAGUUGCCAUCAUUAAGUUGGGCACUCUAGCGAGACUGCCGGUAAUAAACCGGAGGAAGGUGGGGAUGACGUCAAAUCAUCAUGCCCCUUAUGACCUGGGCUACACACGUGCUACAAUGGUCGGUACAACGAGUUGCGAGCCGGUGACGGCAAGCUAAUCUCUGAAAGCCGAUCUCAGUUCGGAUUGGAGGCUGCAACUCGCCUCCAUGAAGUCGGAAUCGCUAGUAAUCGCGGAUCAGCACGCCGCGGUGAAUACGUUCCCGGGCCUUGUACACACCGCCCGUCACACCACGAGAGUUUGUAACACCCGAAGUCGGUGAGGUAACCUUUUAGGGGCCA